GACGAACGCUGGCGGCGUGCUUAACACAUGCAAGUCGAACGGUGAAGCCCCAGCUUGCUGGAGUGGAUCAGUGGCGAACGGGUGAGUAACACGUGAGCAACCUGCCCCUGACUCUGGAAUAAGCGCUGGAAACGGCGUCUAAUACUGGAUACGAGAAGGGUCCGCAUGGGCACUUUCUGGAAAGUUUUUCGGUUGGGGAUGGGCUCGCGGCCUAUCAGCUUGUUGGUGAGGUAAUGGCUCACCAAGGCGACGACGGGUAGCCGGCCUGAGAGGGCGACCGGCCACACUGGGACUGAGACACGGCCCAGACUCCUACGGGAGGCAGCAGUGGGGAAUAUUGCACAAUGGGCGGAAGCCUGAUGCAGCGACGCCGCGUGAGGGAUGACGGCCUUCGGGUUGUAAACCUCUUUCAGCAGGGAAGAAGCGAAAGUGACGGUACCUGCAGAAGAAGCACCGGCUAACUACGUG
rnacentral:rRNA from 1 species